rnacentral:rRNA from 1 species
GACGAACGCUGGCGGCGUGCUUAACACAUGCAAGUCGAACGGAAAGGCCCUGCUUUUGUGGGGUGCUCGAGUGGCGAACGGGUGAGUAACACGUGAGUAACCUGCCCUUGACUUUGGGAUAACUUCAGGAAACUGGGGCUAAUACCGGGUAGGAGCUCCUGCUGCAUGGUGGGGGUUGGUAAGUUUCGGUGGUUGGGGAUGGACUCGCUGGUUAUCAGCUUGUUGGUGGGGUAGUUGCUUACCAAGGCUUUGACGGGUAGCCGGCCUGAGAGGGUGACCGGCCACAUUGGGACUGAGGUACGGCCCAGACUCCUACGGGAGGCAGCAGUGGGAAAUAUUACAGAAUGGGCGGAAGCCUGAUGCAGCAAUGCCGCGUGCGGGAUAACGGCCUUCGGGUUGUAAACCGCUUUCGCCUGUGACGAAGAGUGAGUGACGGUAAUGGGUAAAGAAGCCCCGGCUAACUACGUG